rnacentral:lncRNA from 1 species
AUGAUGGAGUCCGAGCAGGAACGGUCACGUUCAAGGGAACAUAAGCAACAAAGCAAAAUAAAUCAUAUUUUCAACCACAAAUCCGGACUGCAAAUAUUCGAUGAUCAGCAGAGGGCGCUGAGUAUAGAUGCUCCUGAUGGUUGGGGACCUAAUAUGGUUCAGCAGGGCUCAGAGACUCUCAACAUAAAAGAGGAGGAGACCAGUCUGGAGGGUGAACAGCCUAAUGGGAAGGAGGAGACUGAUGCCAACAUGUUCUCAUUCUCUUCAGUUCCUUUGAAGAGUGAGGAUGAUGAAGAGGAAACUCUAAUCUCACAAAUUCAUCAGCAUCAAAUGGAAGGUGGAGAUCUUCCAGUCAGCAGAUCAGCUGACAAGGUGUACUGUAGAGGAGCAGAAACUAGCUGUAACCCUGAUGUAAAUACUCAUGAAGAUGAUCCCAGCUCUCCAGAGACUGAAGACAGUCAUGAAGAUGCAGGUGACAAUGAUGGUAAGUAAGGAGAAGAGCUGUAUCUCCACUCAGUAUGAAAUAUCAGUUCAGCUGUUAAUUUUUUAUAUUCAAAACCUUUUCAUAGACUUCUGUGUUGAUGUAAAAAAUGGGAAUAAGUGUCUUUAAAGUUUGUCACAAACUACUUUCUUAAAUUAGUGAUAUUAGGUGAUAACAUCUCUACAGGUUCUGUAGUCAAAGCAUGUUGGAUCAGUUUUGUCCUGAAUAUUAAAACUUCUUAUCUAAUAAGGAGAUCAGAUGAGUCGGGAAAGUAACUAGGACACCAUAUCCUUGGUGGUCAGAUGAUUUUUAAGACUGAAUUUAAUUUGAAAACUCAGGCCAGAUGUUUCUAAUACACGACUAGUGUUAUUGUGAGAUCUUGUUCCGUCGCAAUGAAGGCUGUAAAAAAUUCAAUACAGUUUAUUUAUUUAGCACCAAAUCAUCUCUAGGUACUUUACAAAGUAAACAUUCCAAUUGAACCUAGUCAUCGGUGCAUUGAGUUCAGUCCAUUGUGCCAAUUAGUUAAAAGUUUCCUAAAUAAGGAACCCAGCAAAUUGCAUCAAGUCACUGACUAGUAUCAGAGUAUUUAAAGCAAUCCUCAUACUAAGCAAGCAUGCAGCGACAGUGGAGAGGAAAUCUCCUUUUUAACAGAAAGAAACCUCCAGAGGAUCUUGGCUCAGUAUAAGCAGCCAUCCACCACGACUCACUGGGGAUUGAGACAACAGAGCGAGCGCACACACAUGCCAUAUAUAUUUGGCUGCAUGCAUCAGUAGUAAACUUUAUUGUCUUUAUCUGAGUGAAUCUAUAUUUAAUUAAAAUGAAUUAGUAGUACUUUUUACGUCAAAGAAAGUAAAAAGUUUAUAUAAGGAGAGGUAGAAUGUCUAGUGGUUGGCUGUAGUGUACCAGCCGAUGACCCCUCCAGGAGGCUGUGACAGCUCUGCAGAACGCCAGUGUAACUUCUUCUGGGGAGAAAAACUCUUAGAGAAAACAUGAAGUGACUGUUGCUUUAUAGAACAUUUGUACAUAACUUAAACUAGACAUGAGCCAUAAAAUCUGAUUCACACACACACACCACUCAGAUGGGGAAAAGGUGCCUGGGAUGAAAUAUUUCCUCUGUCCCUGACAGUGGUUGCAGAAAAUGCUACAACAUCUGCUUGCGACACACACACACAAGCAGGAUACACAGCUCUACAGCAAUGGUCAAUAACCUUGAAGAACUCCAAACCAAACCUCCUUUUACAAAACAAGUUGCCUAAAGCCUGAGUCAUGCUUCUCCGUCCGCUCCAAAAGGGAGACACACGCACGGACGGAGAUGUUUUGCCCUCAUACUUCUCUGUCUUUUGGGGAGUGUUGCAAAGCAAUUCCCCGCCAGAACAACAGAGGGCGUAGCGCUGUUCUGUGGUAUCCUGUCAUGUAUCCGGUCCAAGAUGGUGUGUUUAUAUUGUGUUUUUUGUUUAUAAGAGACUUUUUAACACAUACAAAUUUGUCUCUCAUCCUCCUCCACCUCUUCAUGGGCUUGCCACCUCUAAACCCGUGUUUCCUGUCAUUUCCGUCCACAAAUAAAACGCUUGCUUCGCAUCUUUUCACUCCUCCAGUCACGGGGGAAUGAAGCGUUCAUGUUUUUAGAGUUUUUUUCGCGAGGUAUUCUUCGAGCUUCUCCGUGUCUGCCACUAGUUAUCCUCAUUGAUAUGUAUAUAAACACUAGAUGGCUCGUCCCAGCUGAUCGCCAAUGGGAUGCGACGUAGGAACGUGGCGGCCAUCUUACCUCAGACAGCUGCCCCCUCUCUUGACAUUGGGGUGUAUGGUGCAUAUACUAUUUAAAUAACUCUAACUUGCUCAGUUUUCAACCGAUUUUCAAAAUGUCUUCUUUGUUAUAAAUACCAGAGAUGUGUCUAUGAAAUAGGAUGGGUAUGGCCCAGAAAUUACUGUUAUUUCACUCCCCAAAGCAUUUAAUCUUUCAUAGAUAACACAUUUAAUUGUAAGCUACAGUAACUUAAGGUAUACAUAGCCUAUUAUUAUAUUAUAUAGAUCUAUCUAUAUCUAUCUAAAUAUAUAUAUAUUCCUGGUUUGUGAAAUAAAAUUUGUGUAGAGAUGAGAUUUCAAGGUUCUUUUGAGGUAAAGCACACAAUAACAGAACACAGAUACAAAAUGUGCACCCCAACAAAUAAGACAAACAACACCCAAAUCACAUCUGUCAGCCAGAACGUCCCGCCAGCAAUAAAAUUUCACCCAGCAAAUUAUUUUGUAUUUUCACAAUUUCUUAACUUUUGUUUCCUUAUUUAUUGACUUUCAUUUAUUAAUUAUAAGCUCUUUGGAAAUGCUUUCUGAAAAAGUUAGGAAAUAAUCAAAAAGAUAGAUUAGGUUAAUAAAUAAGAUGGAUUACAGUAAUAAAUCAGAUAGAUGGAUGAAGGAGAUUUUCAACAUUCAUAAAACCAGAUAAACAAUGUAUAGAAGGAGGUAGCAGCAGCAAUAGAACAACAGUUUCAAAUUAUUUUAUUCACAUAAAAACAAUUAACAGACUGAAAAAUGUACAAGUAAAGGUUUUCUUUGCAACAGUUACAGAUGAAAGGUGAUCCCACGUUGUCUCAGUUUGUCACAGCGGAGAUUCGAGCUUCCGUAGGCUGCACGAAAAUCAGUCAUGUUGACCCUAGAGCUUCACAAGUAAUAAAAGUGUAUUUCUGCUAGCAUGAAUCCAGAAAUGUCCUGUUUUAAUAUGUCCCAAUAUAAGUUUUGAGUAACAAACCAAGACGCUUAAAAAUCACUGGCAAUUUAGCAUUAAUUUAUUUAAAAUAAAACUAGCGACUCCCGCUGAAGUAAACAGUCAACUUUGUUUUGCUAAGCAGUGCACCCACNNNNNNCCUCAUCAUCUCUAAGCCAAGUUAGACAGCUAAUAAACAUAAAAACAUCCACAAACAUCAUUUACACAACUAUUGAGCUGUUGUAAAGUUGUUAUUGGUUUUGUAGAACCACAUAAAAUAUCGAUUGUGGUCUCAACCUGUGUAACAUGCAGACAGCCUAGGCAGGACACAUGGUUCACAAUUGUCACUUUCAAAAGCAAAAGCGUUACUUUCAACAUGUGCAAGUAUGUCGUCUCAAGCCCAUGUGUUCUAAGGUUUGUAAUAAGACAACCCGCUUGUAAAUCCGUUAAUAUUUCAUCGACUUAAGGGUGUUUUUGUUUAAGCUGAUCACACACCUUUCAGCCGCUACUAUUGAGAGUGGAGGGAUGUGUUGUCUGGGGUAAGAUGGCCGCCGUUUAGCUACGCCCUCGACUCCCGCUUUCUCCAUCUAGUGUUUAUAUACAGAUCUAUGGUUAUCCUCAGCUCUGGGGCGCAAUGGCGGCGGUGUAGACAGCAGCUGUGCCCUGACCAAUCACAAGCUUGCGUUCUCCGUCUCGACGGAUGGAUGUUUAGAACAGAGAGCUCGACUCCGUCCGUCCUUGCGGGGGCUCUCCAACAGGCCCGCAAGGACGGAUAAUGGCGUUGCGUGUCUCCGCACUGACGCAGACGCAGAAGCAUGACUCAGGCGUAAGACACACAUCCUGUGCUGACCAGGGGAGGCAGGUUUCAGAUCAGAAACUAGCUUCAGAGAAAGGAGCAGGGCCUAAUGUUGGGAGGAGAAAGCCAGGAGGAUGUACAUUUUUUCCAUCAUUUGCAACACUCCACAGGUGACGGAGAAGUCUAAAAAGAAAUUAUCUUCGUCAAUCUGUGUGCAUGUCUCCACACUUGAGCUGAUGGAGAAUUAUAAAUUAGGGUUAAGAAGACCCACAUAGGCUCCCUUCUUACCAGGCAAAUGCUUAGUCAUUGAUGCUUUCUUUUCUCUCUCUGAGGGCCUUGUAUCCUCAACCAUCAUCCAGUCCUCAGUGUGCUUUGCAGGCCCCGGCUGCUGCUGAGCAGUGCUGCUAGCCAGCUGGCGCCACUGGUCAGUGGUGAUGCGGUCCUGUUGGCUAGUCACUUGUAGAGCAGGGAUGCCCAACCAUUUUGGAACUAAGAGCUACAAUUUAACACGGAGAUGUGAAAAUUAGAAAUUAAACUCUAUUGGUCUAUCUUAAUGUGCAGUCAUACAUCAGUUAGAGCAGAAAUUUUACUGAGAAAUAAAACUUAAUACAGGACCUACCCUAGUGGGAUUUCUGACACAGAGGAAGUGGUAUAGACAGGGCUGUAGGCGCUGGCUGCAAGCCUCACCCCUUCUUUCCACCGGAGCCGUCAGCAGCACGUUACUGCAGCAGCACGUCUUGCUCGCGUAAGCUGCUGCUCUGCCCUUCCCACGAGACGUGAAGCAGCAGGGGAGCAGCUGUCACCGACAGAGCACGAAGUCACACGAGUGACUUCGUCAGUAAACACAACAACAAGCAGGAGAAAACUACAACAUGGCUCCAAAAGGUUUGUGUUUUAUGUUCUGUCCAUUUUAUAAUCGCCAAUACGGACCUGAAAAACAAAGGAGACCGCUAGCUAGGUGAUAACUUCUCAUGGGGCAGCACAGUUAGUAACUUUUUUUUUAGUAAAGCAACCGUACGUUUCUUUAUUCUGGAAAUCUCGGGUGCUUCGCUCCGUUUCCGCGUCCGAUUUCCUGUCUUUCCUUCCCCAAAAUGUCGAACUUAACCUGUUUCAGAGGCGUUGCGCGUAGAAAAUAGAACCGGCGCGUAAGGGCCGCGACAUGCUGCUUCUGAGACGCGGCCGACUCGCGCUGCUGACGGCUGCAGUGGAAAAGGUUCUGUUGACCACAGCGGUUCCUAUCAGCAGCUAUGACGUGCUGCUGCAGUAACGUGCUGCUGACGGCUGCUGUGGAAG